AUUGAACGCUGGCGGCAGGCCUAACACAUGCAAGUCGAGCGGAUGAAGGGAGCUUGCUCCUGGAUUCAGCGGCGGACGGGUGAGUAAUGCCUAGGAAUCUGCCUGGUAGUGGGGGAUAACGUCCGGAAACGGGCGCUAAUACCGCAUACGUCCUGAGGGAGAAAGUGGGGGAUCUUCGGACCUCACGCUAUCAGAUGAGCCUAGGUCGGAUUAGCUAGUUGGUGGGGUAAAGGCCUACCAAGGCGACGAUCCGUAACUGGUCUGAGAGGAUGAUCAGGCACCCUGGAACUGAGACACGGUCCAGACUCCUACGGGAGGCAGCAGUGGGGAAUAUUGGACGAUGGGCGAAAGCCUGAUCCAGCCAUGCCGCGUGUGUGAAGAAGGUCUUCGGAUUGUAAAGCACUUUAAGUUGGGAGGAAGGGCAGUAAGUUAAUACCUUGCUGUUUUGACGUUACCAACAGAAUAAGCACCGGCUAACUUCGUG
rnacentral:rRNA from 1 species